rnacentral:rRNA from 1 species
UACGUAGGGUCCAAGCGUUGUCCGGAUUUAUUGGGCGUAAAGAGCUCGUAGGCGGUUCGGUAAGUCGGAUGUGAAAACUCAGGCUCAACCGGACGACGCCAUCCGAUACUGCUGUGACUUGAGUCUGGUAGGGGAACACGGAAUACCUGGUGUAGCGGUGAAAUCGCAGAUAUCAGGUGGAACACCUAUGGCGAAGGCAGCUCGCUGGGACGUUACUGACGCUGAGACGCGAAAGCGUGGGGAGCAAACAGG